UUAAGUUCAGCGGGUUUUCCUACCUGAUUUGAGACCAAGUUUUCAGAUUCAGUUCCAAACGGAACGGAAAAUGAGUUUUGAACUGGAGUUGCCCACACUUGCCAAAGAAGUUAACCUGGGAAUGAGUGAAAUCGUAAAGGACUUAACCUAUUCAUGCACUCAUAUAGACCCAAGUUGCCUUAGCAAACGGAUGGUCAAAA
rnacentral:misc_RNA from 1 species